rnacentral:lncRNA from 1 species
UGUCUUACGGCAUAGGUGGCCUCUCAGAGUCUCAGCAAGGUCACUCUUUUCCAUAUGUAAUAAUGAGCCAUUGUUCUAUUCAUCAUGACCUCAUAGAGCCUUUUCUUUUUCUCAGGUCUCAUUUACUUCCUCUUUUUUUUUUCCUUUUCCUUUUCCUAUACCUUCCUUUGGUCCUUAUAAGUAUCCAAAUUGCCCUAAAAUAACUUCUGCACAUGCAGCAUUAGGAAGCAGUGUUUCCCAACCACUACAUUUGAAUGAUUCAUUCCUCUGAGGACCCUCAAGUACUUCAGAAGAACUAAAAAAUGAAUAUCACGUUACACCAAAGAAGAAAUGAAAGCUGCCAGUGUCUUCUGAAGUUAAACAGGCUCCUGUUCUUUGACCCAGCAAUCCAAUCCUAGAGGCGGGAAGUCCAAGAUCAAUCAAAGUGUUGGCAUCGGUUUAUUGUGAGCUGUUCCUGCGAGGGAAGGAUCUGUUCCAGGUAUUUAAUUGUUCCCUGAGGUUUAAGGCAGUGGACUGAGGAUAAUACAGGCUCCAGCUUUCAUUAGUUCAAUGGAUGAUGCUGUUCAAUCCAUACUGUUUGGGGCAUUUGUUGAAAAUGUCAUUCAGAAGAUAUCAACACUUUCUGAGUCAUGGUUUGAUUGAAUUUAUAGAAUUAUGUGAUAGAAACCACAUUCUUCACAAAAGUCACAAGGCAAUAAUGACGACAAGGGUUGAAGAUGAAAGAUGCCAAAUAUUCUGAUCAAUUCAAUAAGGCAAAAAGACAAGUUAAUUCACUCAGUGCUCCAGGCAUCAACUUCAUAGAAGGAAUGGAAAUUCUACCUGUUUCCUAAAGAACUACAGAGGACUCCAACUAAGCCACUAUGCUGGGAGCAGAGAUGGGGAAGAAUUGCUGAGUCAUGAUAAGAGAAGGCACUAUAGGAAGAAACAGUGAACUCUUAACAGCUGGGCAAGCAAUGAGUCAGCCUGGGUGGUCACUCCAGAUGCUCCCGGACACAUCCCAAUUUCUAGGAUGCCUUGCUGAUAUGUACUUCUCAAGGAAAAAAAAUGGUCACUAUAUAUAUUAAACUGACAGAGGAAAAGUGGAAAUAACAUAUGUCUUAGAUCUCCAUUUUGGCGAAGACAGGCUUCAGCUGUAAAGAAUCGAAGAAUAAAAUGAGACCAACAAAGUGAAAUCAUUUCUGAACCCAGUAACUAUUACUGCAGCACUGAUCUGCUGAACCGGCAGAGGAGUCCAAAAGAAAAAUCUACUCAUCCCAAAUGAGCAUUUACUCUCAAUAUGAUGUGUUUCACUAGCUCCUUUCCUCUAAAGCACUUUUUUUCCCUUGCAUUGUUUUUUUUUCUAAUUAUAUGUGUGGCUUUAGACAAAUUAUUCCAAUUCUCUGCACUUCGAGUUUAUCAAAUAAAAAUCAAGAAUAAUCUCUAGCUCAUAGUGUGUAGAGACUGAGUUUGAUUCUGUAUGAAGUGCCCAGCGCAGGCCUGGCCAUCUAGUGAGAGAACAGUAAAUGGUCUACUUGGGAGAACUCCUCAGUUAGAACUUUAAUGAUUAGGUAGCUAAUGAUCUGUAAUACCCUCCUUAGCACCUGUUAAUCUCACUUUAAUAAGGAGAGUAUGUCCGGCCUUUUACAAGAAGCCACAGAUACUCCAGCCAGCAAGGUUGGAGGCAAGGCUGGAUCUGGACCAAAGAGGCUGGUCAGCAAGUGCUUGGGAGCCAAGUCCUGAAAACAUUCAUCAGAAACGUUUCCUGCAUCUUCAGUGGCCUGUAGACUGGGCAGCAGGCAACUCUCUAAAUUUUACUGCAGUCAGAAGUUCAGGAUGGGAACCUGCUCAGAAAGGGUGGGGCGCAGCAUUUCAGGGGUUAUGGUCAUCUCCAGGAGAGUGGAGUAGGUUGUGAAGAGGCGAGUACUUCUACAGAAUCUCUAAAGCCAUCAUUUUGACAUAGGAAAUAUAGAGGGUAAGGGAUUGAGAUGAAAAAUGAAACUACUCUUUCAAGUGUGUUUCCUCCACACUUCUCUCUUAUCCUCCCUUUGUCUACGCUCUUCCAUGGGUGGUAUUUUAAAAGAUGCCUUUUCUAGUAGAAGUUUUGUAAUACUUUAAAAAUGCUCAGAGGCAUUUUUCCAAUUUGGAGUCAAUAUACUUUGUAUACUGAUGAGAUACUGCAGUUAAGUAAUUAGCUGUCUGCAACUAGUUAAUUAAGAGAUACUGCAGUACCUUGGCCUCAGGCAUUAAGCAAGUCUAGCUGAUAAGCUGGAAAUUGGCAAAUAGGAGGAUUGACAAGACACAAGAGCAUAAUGCGACACUCAGUCGCAUUUGACAAAAAAAAAAAUUUGUUUUUCCAGUGGGUAAAUGAGUGAGUGCCACCUAAAGUCAUACAGGUGGGUCUUUUAAUAAACCCAAAUAUUGUCAGGAAAGCGGAGACUUCCAACUGUUGGAAAAUGUCGCAGUAAACAGAAUUCUUCCUGAAUUUCAUUCUAUUUUCAUUUUCCUAUCACCCCAGUCCUGAAAUUACUGAAUUCAAGGGGAGAGUUAAGACUGAGAAACCCUUGAGGUUGCCACCUGGCAGGGUCACAACCAGCAGAGACCUCGUGUGGACUUUUAAAGGGCAGCUUUUCCUCUAGCCAGACCCUUGCCCUUGCUCCAGCAUCCAGCUUGCUGAGUAGGACCUGAACAGGACUCCACCUACACUUACCCUUUGGGAAUUCACGCUCAACCUGCGCAACCGUAGGCAGGACCCCCACCUCCCACCCACCCAGAUCAAAGGAAGACUUGACUUUGGAGAGUAAAUCCUCUCGGAGAAGAGAUCAGAUCAUUUCUCCCUACCUUGGAAGGAAAGGAACAUUUCCAAGUGAAAGGUCUUGUCUGCUACUCACCUACAGCGCAAGUCCCACGGUGCCUUGAGUGUUUGCGAGUGUCUCCUCACACCCAGAAAUGCCCCACUAAGGGACAUCUGUGUUUCUUGGAGCUAAGAAUUACCUAUUGGUGAGUGGAGUAGGAAAUAGAGGAAUAGUAUCAGAAUCUGGGCGGGCCUUCCACAUGCCCACCUGAAGACCCUGAUGUGUGACCACGCCCCCUUAGGAGCAUGCCCUCUCCCACUCCUGGCUCCCAUCGCUUGCAAAUUCUUAUGUAAUGAGAAAAUGCUGAAAGAGUAUACACAUGUGAAGAGGAUCAAAGCAGAAAACAAACUGGGAAAUUACAGAUUCCUCCUUAAGUCAAAGCACUAGACUAUUUGAAUGGUAUCUCUCUCCCACACAGUGUUCUUCAAUGCCGUGCUCAUUGUGAGCUGCACUGACUGUCUGCAUAAGAAUCACUUGGAUACAUGUCAAAAAUACAUCCUAGGCUUACUAAAUCUGAAUUAGUAGGAACAGAGCUAGAAAUCUACAUCUUUUAACAAAGUCUCCAGGUGACUUUCAUGUAUUCAGAAGUUUGUGAAUGACUAAUCUACCAGGACUGGUAUCUUAUACAGUCAAUGUUUGUUUCUCUAUCAGAAUCUGGGAGGGCUUUCCACACGCCCACCUGAAGACCAUGUGUGACCACGCCCCCAGAGGAGCAUGCCUUCUCCCACUCCCCAAUCCCAUUGCUUAUGACUUCAUUCACAUUUAGAGCGUGGACAGUGAAUCCCCAAUGUCAUUUACACAGUGUUGUUCUUGUCAUGGUCUAAACCAGCUUACCCCACUGCCACAUUUAUCCAUCAGCCUAUGGGAAAAGGGAAAAAGGAUGUGGAAGUGAAGUGAUCUUUAAAAGCCAAGGAAAGGAAGACAGGAAAAAUGAAGAUAAAUCCCAAAAGAUCAAUAUUUACUUUUAGUCUGCAUUUAAGUGUGCAUCGUUGAGAGAAUCCACGGCAACUUUUAUUAAAGAUAGAAGUUGUACUUGCCAACACAUCAACAAUUUAUGUUUAGAAACAAGAUACUCAAUCUCAAGUUAUCUUCCCUCUGAAAAUCAGAGAUCACUUCCAAUUCUCCUUAAGCUCUUAUGCAAGUUCUUCCAGCUGGAUCUAGAAACCAAAUUGACACCAGGCAGAUUAACAAGAGAAAACAUACAAAUCUUAUUCAUUUUACAUGUACGUGGGGAUCUUCACAAGAAAGAAAAUUAAAAAGUGGCCAAAGCAAGAUGCUUUUAUGCUUUUUAGACAAAGAAUGAUAAAUUUGAGAAGAAAUGUCAAGACAAAGAAAAUCUGGCUAGGAGUAGUACAUUUCUAGGGGAGUCAGUAGGAGAUAUAUUGGGGGACAUGUAAAACUAGUGAAAGAUAAGAGUUACUUCAUUAAGCAUAUUUAUCCAGAUCCAUUACAGUUCUCAAUUCCCAGUGUCUCAUGAUAAGGGCCAUCUUCUCACCCUGGUACAGAGAGAGUACCCCUCCCAGAGGAACGUUUAUGGCUUGCUGCAUGCAGGAAGAGACAGGUCAGCUAGCCUUUUCUAAACUACAAUUUCUCCAAUGUUUUCAACUCAAAAUAAUCAAUACACCAAUUCAGCAUGUUGUGGGAUGGCACAUCCUUCCCUCCUUUAAUAUCUAAGUUAAUAUUGAUGAUUUUGUAUAUUAAGAAGGUCCCAAAAUCGAAUGAGCUAUGGGCACCACAAAGCCAAGAUCUGCUCCUUAGGAGGGGUGUACUGGUACUGAAGAAGCAAGGAAACUCAAAAAUUGUGCUGCGAUCAAAACAUCAGAAGGAGAAUCUGAAGUGUCAGCCCACUGGAAGAAGCAAAAGCAUUUAGGGAAGUAGUUGCAUGGGGUCUGGGAUUCUGGGGUCCAGUUACAAGCAAACAAAGUGGGAAGAAUUCAAAGAAUUGCCUGAGUAAUUGCGGCUAAUGGACAAGGCAGGGUGUCAGGGACCCGACCAAGAGAGCUGGAGUUGGUUUUGUGGCUGCAGUCCAAGCAGAGGAAACCAGAAGAUGAGCGCCACUGCACAGACUAGGCAGAUGGUGGGAGAGGGGAAGAGAAAGCCACUAACAGUCACCGUCAUCGACCCCGAGACGUUGUACUUCAGUAGUGGGGUUGGGUGCCUUACACUUUUAGGCUGCAUCAGGGAUUCCUCAAAGAGGAUACAGUGCUAAACCUGCAGUUAUCAGGACAGGCAGCAGAAUCUUGCCCAUAAAGAGGGAAUAAGAAUGCAUACCUAUCUUAUAACAGUGUUGAGAUGAUUCAGUCAAUGGUGUAGAUAAAAUGUGUAGCCUGGUACUUUAUGCAAUCAUGGAGAACAACUCAAGCUCUCUGGAAUAUGAUCCUACCUUGAAUAUAGUAAGAAGAAAAGGAGUUUAAAUUCUCCUGGUAGGAGGGAUGCAAAUUCAUUCAAACGAAAUAAGGCAGUAGGAAGGAACAACUAAUUUGGCUUUUAGAAGUAAAUCAUCAAUGCAAUGCAAAGAUGCUGUUUAUGUGCUUGGCUUAUUGAUUUAAUAAGUUCCUUGGUAAACUUUUUUUCUGCUCAGUUAGCAGUUGGUUAGUUUUCCUUUGUAGUAAUAGUAAUAGUUUAAAUGUUCCUUGCAGUAAUGACUGUCAUUGCUAUAUUUUAUUUUCUAAGUUGAUUUUGUACUCUAAUAUCACUCUGCUAUGUUUUCCUGUGUUGUAGGAAAUUAUUUUUA